rnacentral:lncRNA from 1 species
UUCAAUCCUGAUAAAAAUACUUUAUUCUGGUCUUCAAUAGCAAAUAUGACCGGAGAGCCAGAGGGUCAGUGGUCCUGCUCUGAGCUGUGCAGGUGGGGCUGUCUCUGGGUAGUGGGAGGGUCGGGUGGGUGUUUCUGACCUGGGCGUCUUUGCCCAGAGGAGCAGAAGUGAACACACGCCCUCCCACUGGGCUCUUCUGCUGACGUGGGUUGGUAGGACGGUUAUGGCUCAGCUUAGGGUCCGCAGCUGGGCAAUGAGGAGACUGGAGGGGCCUUUCUCAGGUAGUGGCGUCUGGUAAUCAGCAGAUGGCGCCCGAGGUCGCUGGGCCCGCCCCGCGUGCGGGUCUUUCUGGUUGACUCCCCAGGCUCUUGCGUGGGAACUCACCACUGAGCACUGAACGCAG